CAUUCUAUUUAGCCACGAAACAUUUUGUAGCAAGUAUAUUUUAGUCGGGAUUCCUCUCAUCAUGGAGUACAUUUGUACAUACUAGUAUGUGAAAUUUUUUAAAUUUAAAAACAAUGACCUAAAUUUUUUUAACAAAAUUAAAACAACCGCCUUAAAUAAAAAAAUAGCCGCCUAAAAUAAAAAGUUCCCACUAAAUUAUACCUACACUCUUACGUUCCCUCUAGUCUGACAAAAAAAAAAUAAAAGAAAAACCUACAACAUAAGCAGAAGUUCCUUCAACCUUCAAAAUUUCUUUUUCUACCUUAAGUUUUAUUUUUUUUCUUCACCUAUUGAAGAUAUUGUUGGCCACCGCUCAAUUUAAUCUUUCAAUUGUUCAAUCAUUGAUGCUGGGAUUCCUUAAUUGCGGUUAGAUUUCAAUUGCUGCAAUUCGGGUAUUAUUAUUUAUUCAGUGGAAAGGACUUUCAGGAAUCAGAGACAAGGUUUAAUGAUGGAGAAAGUUGGAAUUAAUACUUCUGACAAGAAUAGUGGCCAACAAAAUGAGUAUGAACAACAAAGGUUAAAGAGGAUUCAGGAUAAUAAGUAUAGAAUGCAAUCCUUGGGUAUCAAGCGCAUUUCAGCAUCCUUGACAAGUUUAGUGGAAAGCAAAAAAGAAAAUAAGAAGAUGAAGA